GAAAUGCGAUAAGUAAUGUGAAUUGCAGAAUUCAGUGAAUCAUCGAAUCUUUGAACGCACAUUGCGCCCGCCAGUAUUCUGGCGGGCAUGCCUGUUCGAGCGUCAUUUCAACCAUCAAGCCCCGGGCUUGUGUUGGGGACCUGCGGCUGCCGCAGGCCCUGAAAUCCAGUGGCGGUCUCGCCGUCGCACCGAGCGUAGUAGCAUACUUCUCGCUCCGGGCGCGCGGCGGGCACCUGCCGUAAAACCCCCCUAUUUCUCAAGGUUGACCUCGGAUCAGGUAGGAAUACCCGCUGAACUUAA
rnacentral:misc_RNA from 1 species